CCACCUCCUCUUCCUCUCCUACCUGCAACUUAUGGGCCUUAGCUAAGUCCUCUUGCCCAUGGUUAUUCACUCAGCUGAACUCCUCUUCUCAACACAUCAGUCUUUCGGUGGUAGAGAAGAAUGGGUGGAGAUCAUGCAUUGUUACAGCAGUUUAUGCAAGCACCAAGCUAAGGCAUCGGAGGUCUCUCUGGAAGGAACUUCAGGAUCAGGCAGGGGCUAAUCUACCUUGGUGUGUAAUAGGUGAUUUCAACACAGUCUCUUUGCAGACCGAAAGGUUCAGUAUCAGGCCCCCAAAUCCCACUGCUGUAGCAGAGUUUCAGG
rnacentral:lncRNA from 1 species